GAUGAGCUCGCGUCCUAUCAGCUUGUUGGCGGGGUAAUGGCCCACCAAGGCUUUUGACGGGUAGCUGGUCUGAGAGGAUGGUCAGCCACAUUGGGACUGAGACACUGCCCAGACUCCUACGGGAGGCUGCAGUCGAGAAUCUUUUGCAAUGCCCGAAAGGGUGACAAUGCGACGCCGCGUGCGCGAUGAAGGUCUUCGGAUUGUAAAGCGCUGUCAGCCGGAGGAAUCUCUGGAGGCUUAAUAAGCUUGCAGGGUGACAGUACCGGCAGAGGAAGCCACGGCUAACUCCGUGCCAGCAGC
rnacentral:rRNA from 1 species